rnacentral:rRNA from 1 species
UACGGAGGGUGCAAGCGUUACUCGGAAUCACUGGGUGUAAAGGGCGCGUAGGCGGCCCGAUAAGUUUGGUGUGAAAUCCCACGGCUCAACUGUGGAACUGCACUGAAUACUGUCGGGCUAGAGUGCAGGAGGGGAGGGUGGAAUUCAUGGUGUAGAGGUGAAAUUCGUAGAUAUCAUGAGGAACACCAGCGGCGAAGGCGGCCCUCUGGACUGCAACUGACGCUAAGGCGCGAAAGCGUGGGGAGCAAACAGG